GGGGACGUUACGGAUUCGACAGGGGUAGUUCGAGCCUGGGCUGCGGGUCAGAGGGUCGGCUCUGUCAAAACGCACUUGCCUAUAAUAACUGGCAAACAACAAACACAACUACAAGCUGCCUAAUUAAAUUUAGGUUAGCCUGUGCUCCUCCCGCUGUUGUCCGUGCAGUCGGAUCAGGGGCCCACUUUAAGCGGACUACGCUCGAUUCCUCCGUCUGGGGAUGACAGAAGAGAACAAUCAGACUGGCUGAUCCAAAGGCCUGCCGUUCGGCAAAUGGAUCAGCGAGACUCUAAAUAGUACGGCUACACCCGUAGACGCUCAGGUGCCGUUAUCUUUGGACGCGGGUUCGACUCCCGCCGUCUCCAUAA
rfam:[Bacillus] aminovorans strain DSM 1314 DSM1314_contig_23, whole genome shotgun sequence.